UACGAAGGGGGCUAGCGUUGCUCGGGAUCACUGGGCGUAAAGGGUGCGUAGGCGGGUCUUUAAGUCAGGGGUGAAAUCCUGGAGCUCAACUCCAGAACUGCCUUUGAUACUGAGGAUCUUGAGUUCGGGAGAGGUGAGCGGAACUGCGAGUGUAGAGGUGAAAUUCGUAGAUAUUCGCAAGAACACCAGUGGCGAAGGCGGCUCACUGGCCCGAUACUGACGCUGAGACGCGAAAGCGUGGGGAGCAAACAGG
rnacentral:rRNA from 1 species